rnacentral:lncRNA from 1 species
GGUGUGAUACCUUUGGACCUUUGGACAUGAAGCAUCUUCCAAUUCCUUCAUUUGGUGAAUCGAAUAUGUUGUAGGAGUUGGUUGACACAAGUGCUAGACCGGCAACACCUUCAUCUUGAGUAUAUUCGAAGUCGGAGUGAUAGCUUCUCUCGGAGUUAUUGUCGGAGUCGGAGCCGGAUACCCAUUCACUAACAUGAGCUUGAUGUCUUCGUUUUGUGUAGCUCCUUGAUGACUUGUCCUUCCUUUCUGAAUCCUUGCUUCUCCGAGGGUGUCUUCGUUCAUAUCGAUCAUCCCUACUCCUUCUCUCCCUUGAUGGUGAUUCUUCUCUUCUACUUCUUCUUUUGGGAGAAUCUUCUCUUCUCUUGUGGGGAGCCGUAGACUCAUUGGAGUAGUGUCCAGGUCUUCCACAAUUGUAGCGGUUUCGCUCUCGACUAGAAGAUCUUUUGUCAUUGUAGGACCUUGACUUGGAACUUCUCUAUUUGCUUCUAUUCUUGUAGAAUUUGUUGAAGUUCUUCACCAUUAAGCUCAAUUCUUCAUUGAAGGUUUGUUUCUCACUUGAUGAUGUGGGGGCUUCACAUGAGGCUUUGUAAGCACCACUUGAUUUGUUGUGAAGUUCCUCCAUAUCCUUGAGUGACAUCUCAUGAGCAACAAUUCUUCCAAUGACUUCCAUUGGCUUGAGAUCUUUGUAAUUUGGCAUCAUUUGGAUCAAUGUGCAUACGGUAUCGUAUUUUCCAUCCAAGGCUCUUAGGAUCUUCUUGAUGAUGAAUUUGUCGGUCAUCUCUUCACUUCCUAAGUUGGCAAUCUCAUUUGUGAUAAGAGCAAGCCUAGAGUACAUUUCAGCGACACCUUCACCAUCCUUCAUUUUGAACUUGUCAAGUUGACUUUGAAGCACAUCCAACUUGGAUUCCUCGACGGAGUCGGUACCUUCGUGCAUAUCAAUCAAAGUAUCCCAAAUUUCCUUUGCAUUCUCAAGAUGGCUGAUUUUGUUGAAUUCUUUGGGGCACAAUCCGUUGAAGAGGAUAUCACAAGCUUGAGCGUUGUAUUGUAGCAACUCAUCCACGAUAGCUUCACGAUUUGGUUCUCUCCCAUCAAAGAAUUCACCUUGCAAGCCAACACACACAAUAGCCCAAACGGCGGGGUUAUGUCCAAGAAUAUGCAUUUUCAUCUUAUGCUUCCAACUAGCAAAAUUAGUGCAAUCAAAGUAAGGACCUCCACGGUGGUAGUUUCCCUCGCUAGACGCCAUACUCUCCUAGGUUGUGAAACCAAGGCUAUGACCACCAAAAGCUAUGGAAAUCAAAGCAAAUGGAGACCAAAGCUCUGAUAUCACUUGUAGGAUCGAAAGUAUGUCUAGAGGGGGGGGGUGAUUAGACUACUUGACCAAUUAAAAAUCUAUUCUUUUCCCAAUUUUAGUCUUUGGCAGAUUUUAGAUAUCUUAGCACAAGUCAAGCAAUCUUAACACAAUUCAAGCAAGCAUGCAAAGAGUCUAUGAGCAGCGGAAAGUAAAGCAUGCAACUUGCAAGAAUGUAAAGGGAAGGGUUUGGAGAAUUCAAAUGCAAUUGGAGACACGGAUGUUUUUGUCGUGGUUCCGAUAGGUGGUGCUAUCGUACAUCCACGUUGAUGGAGAGUUCAACCCACGGAGGGUAACGGUUGUGCGAGUCCACGGAGGGCUCCACCCAUGAAGGGUCCAUGAAGAAGCAACCUUGUCUAUCCCAUCAUGGCCAUCGCCCACGAAGGACUUGCCUCACUAGCGGUAGAUCUUCACGAAGUAGGCGAUCUCCUUGCCCUUACAAACUCCUUGGUUCAACUCCACAAUCUUUGUCGGAGGCUUCCAAGUGACACCUAGCCAAUCUAGGAGACACCACUCUCCAAGAAGUAACAAAUGGUGUGUUGAUGAUGAACUCCUUGCUCUUGUGCUUCAAAUGAUAGUCUCCCCAACACUCAACUCUCUCUCACAGGAUUUGGAUUUGGUGGAAAGAAGAUUUGAGUGGAAAGCAACUUGGGGAAGGCUAGAGAUCAAGAUUCAUAUGGUAGGAAUGGAAUAUCUUGGCCUCAACACAUGAGUAGAUGGUUCUCUCUCAGAAAAUGUGUAUUGGAAGUGUAGGUAUGUUCUGAUGGCUCUCUCCACGAAUGAAGAGUGGGUGGAGGGAUAUAUAUAUAUAGCCUCCACACAAAAACUAACCGUUACACACAAUUUACCAAUCUCGGUGAGACCGAAUUGAGAAACUCGGUCGGACCGAUUUAGCAAACCUAGUGACCGUUAGGAUUUUCGGUGGGACUGAGAUGCAACUCGGUAGGACCGAUAUGGUUAGGGUUAGGGCAUAACGUAAUCUCGAUGUGACCGAUUACACAAACUCGUGGGACCGAUUUUGGUAAUAAGCUAACCAGAGAGUUGGUCAAGUAAACUCGGUGGGACCGAUCGCUCAUUUCGGUGAGACCGAAACGUUACGAAGGGAAAACAGAGAGUUUACAUUGCAAUCUCGGUGGGACCGAUCGCUCAUCUCGGUAGGACCGAAAUGUUACGAAGGGAAAUAGAGAGAUUACAACCCCAUCUCUGUGUGACCGAAAUCCCUAUCGGUGAGACCGAUUUGCCUAGGGUUUGUGGCAGUGGCUAUGACAUUUGAACUCGGUGGCGCCAGAUAGAAAGAAUCGGUGGGGCCGAGUUUGACUUUGGGUUUAGGUCAUAUGUGGAUGUGGGAAGGUAGUUGAGGGUUUUGGAGCAUAUAACUAAGCACUAUGAAGCAAGAACCUCAUUAAACAACACCUCAUCCCUCCUUGAUAGUAUUGGCUUUUCCUAUAGACUCAAUGUGAUCUUGGAUCACUAAAAUAUAAAAUGUAGAGUCUUGAGCUUUGAGCUUGAGCCAAUCUUUUUGUCCUUACUAUUUUGAGGGGUUCACUUUCCUCAUCCAUGCCAUGCCAUUCAUUGAGCUUUUCCUGAAAUAUUAAUCUUGGAAUAGCAUUAGCUCAAUGAGCUAUAUGUUGUUAGGAAUUACCAAAACCACCUAGGGAUAGUUGCAAUUUCACCCGACCACCACCCACCGUCGCCUGCCACCCCCUCAUCUUCCCCGCGCCACCGGCCCCAGCCACCACCCACCACGACCCGCCCCGACCACCACCCACCGAGACCCGUCCCCAGACACCACCUACCGUCGCCUGCCCCGGCCACCGCCUACCGCCGCCUGCCCCGCUCCACCCUGUCCGGCCAGCGCGCCUCCUCUCCUCCACCCACGGUGCCACCCUCCCCUGACCCCGUCGCUAGAUGGGGUCCGGGCCGAAUCCAGGCCGCGUCGCCCAGCCGCUGGAUCCAGGCUGCGCCGACCCUCCCGCGUCGCGCUGUCGCCGGAUCCAGGCCACGCCGACUCUCUCGCGCCCCCUGCCGCCAUCUUCAGGCUGCGGGCGCCCCUUCCUUCCCUCCCCAGUGGGCAAAAUGUAGGACACCCCUGCCCUGUCCCUGCAAAACUCCCUCCGGCGGGCCUCCUCUCCAUGCAAAACUCCCUCCGGCGAGGCCCAGUACACAUCCGUCCCCGACGGUUCAUUUGAUUUUUUCUAAGCUCACAGAAUUUUGUUUGGUAGUUCACCCAUCCUCCCCUACAGCAUAUUCUCCUAGACGCUAGCGUGUGGGACGAUGGCACAUAUGUGCGGGCGUGCAAUUCGCCAUCCCGGUGCGUGAUGUACCUGGUUCCGACGGUGCGGUUCGCCGGUGUACUCCCCAAUCGAGGAACGAGCAAUAGUUUCAUUUCACGACAUCAUCUUCUAGUUCAUCAACGCAAUGAGCAGCUCAGUGGCAGCGGGCAUGCAGUUUGGUGGACGCAUCCAGUUGCGGUUUAGUUGUUGCGUCGAUGCAGUUUUGCUCGGAAUCGAGGUGGUGCUUCGUUGUGCAGUGCAAAAAUCAUGUUAUAAAAAACAUGGGUUCUAUGCCUCUAUUUGGCUCGAGCAGCAACGAAGUUCGCUUUGGGUCACGUGUGCUGAAUUUGUUGUUAUUUGUCUCAGAAAAGUGUGUUAUAUUUGUUGUUAUUUAUUUCAAGAAAAUGUGGUUUACUUACGGUAAUGUGGUGCACUUUCGAGUGUGUUGUGGUUCAGUUUCCAUUGUGUUGCGGUUUACUUACGCCAAAUGUGAAAUGUGGUUUACUUUUGUAUUUGCAGCUCACUUCGGUUUCCCCUAGCAGCUCACUUUGGUUUCACUUGCCUAUGGUGCAGUGCAGUUUGUUGCAGCUCACUCCAAUGUUAAAUUUCAGGGUACACACGGUGGUGGAUAAAAAAACAAAAACA